rnacentral:rRNA from 1 species
GUGCCUGAGAUAUGCAAGUCGAGCGUCCGCAACCUGCAGCACCCAACAACUAACAAUCAACGUGUGGUAGUCGAUUGUUGGAAGUUGAGUGUUGUGGGUUGCGAAGCGGCGGACGGCUGAGUAAUACGUAGAAACCUGCCCCUGGGUAGAAAAUAGCUCACCGAAAGGUGGGGUAAUAUUUUAUAAUGUCUUUUGACCAAAGGGCUUAACGGCUCGCCCAUGGAGGGGUCUGCGGCCUAUCAGGUAGUUGGUGGGGUAACGGCCUACCAAGCCAAUGACGGGUAGCUGGUCUGAGAGGAUGUACAGCCAGAGGAGCACUGAGACACGGGCUCCACUCCUACGGGAGGCAGCAAUCAGGAAUAGUCGGCAAUGGGCGAAAGCCUGACCGCGCGACUUCGCGUGUAGGAAGAAGCUCUAACGAGUGUAAACUACUGUGGUAGAGGAAGAAGUCCGCCGAUUCGGCGGAUUGACGGUACUCUACUAGAAAGGGGCCGCUAACUGCGUGCCAGAAGCGUCGGUAAGACGUGGGCCCCAAGCGUUAUCCGGUGUCACUGGGCGUAAAGGGUCGUGUAGGCGUCCUGAUGAGUCCCGACUUAAAUUCUAUAGCCUAACUAUAGGAAAGGUCGAGAUACUAUCAGGAUUGAAUUUCCUCUAGGGAGACUGGAACUUACAGUGUAGCAGUGAAAUGCGUUGAUACUAUAAGGAACACCAGUGGCGAAGGCGAGUCUCUGGGAGGAAAUUGACGCUGAGACACUAAAGCUAGGGGAGCGAAGCAGAUUAGAGACCUGCGUAGUCCUAGCCCUAAACGCAUGCUUGCUAGCUGCAUUUUCCCAAUUUUGGGAGGGUGUGGCGAAGGUAACCCGUUAAGCAAGCCGCCUGGGGAGUACGGUCGCAAGGCUGAAACUCAAAGGAAUUGGCGGGGAGGCACACAACCAGUGGAACAUGUGGUUCAAUUCGAUACGAACCGAAGAACCUCACCAAGACUUGACAUCCAGCUGCACGCUCCGAGAAAUCGGAGAAUCCUUCGAGGGUGCUGGACAGGUGUUGCAUGGCUGUCGUCAGCUCGUUCCGUGAGGAGUACCCUUAAGUGGGACAACGAGCGCAACCCCCACCUUGUGUUACAAGUGUCACAAGGAACUGCCCUGCUCAUGAGCGGGGAGGAAGGAGGGGCAGACGUCAAGUCAGCAUGACCCUUAUGUCUUGGGCUACACACAUGUUACAAUGGACAGUAACAGAGGGCCUUGCCACGCAGUAAUGCGCAGCUAAUCCCUAAAACCUGUCCUUAGUGGGGAUUGAGGUCUGGAAC